UGGGAUGCUGUCUCCUUCAACACUGCCGCAUUAGAUUAGGCCCAAUAAAAAGCUUCCCCUAAUUCUUCUUCCCGUCUGCUUUCAGAAAUGUAACCCGAGCUGGAAACACUAAGAAGUGGAAGAGAACAGGGGAAACUGCAGUAUGGCAGAGGCAGUGGUGAUCAAGUCGGCAAGCGAAGCCAUGAAAGGGAGCAAGGCACCCGGUCGUUUGACAGCUGAGAAGGGAGCCGCCCCCGCCGCACAUCCAGUUAAACUACCAUUCAAAUACAAAGGCCGAGACUGUGUCACACACCAUCUCUGAAGGGACUCCUGAAAGUUACCACCCAAGGAGAAGGCGCUAAGGGCCAAAGGAGGACAUGAUUUCAGAAGCACCAGGGAGUGAGCCUUCUGACAGUGCCAUACUGGAUAUAGCCGGUCGAGUGUUGGUGCGCAUAUGCAGUUGCCUGCGGUUUCCUGUGUCUACACGCCUGGACAGCGGAAGUCAACACCAGGUGUCUUCCUCAAUCCCUCAUCCCCUUGUUAUUUUUAAUGUAAUUAAUUUAUUCCGUGUAGACACGUGAUGCACGGAACCCGUGGGACCCAGCUUGCUCGUGGAGGUUCGAGGACAACUUCGUGAGUUAGGACAGUGAUGUUGGGGAAAAUGGAAAUUUACCAGCUGAAUUUCACCAAAAGCCUUUGCAUAAUUGAUGGACGGUCUGAGCGAAGAAUGCCAUGAUUUCUGAGAGCCCAACAUGAGUGCCCAACAGUGAACUGCAUCCACCUGCAGAUCGACCUAUCGCCCUAAUCAUAGUGGAGGCGAGGAAAAGGAAGCACAGAGAAGCUGAUGUAAUCGCUCGCUACGAAAACGCAGGUGCACUAUCUCUGCCAUAAGUUCUUCCGGAACUGGCUACUUGCUCUUGAAGACACCAGACGGAAGCCAUUCCCCAGGAUUUCCAUGACUGCCCCCUACCCAGUGUUGUAGGUGACCCACCGGACCCUGAGACGGCCUAGAAAGGACAGCAUUUGCCACUCUGUCUCCCAGGAGCUCUCUGGGGUCUGAACCGCUGUGUGAAACUGUGAGUGUCCACUGCCGUCCUGGCAAGGCCUUUCGGAGGCACAGCAAGUAGCCAGCAUUCCUGCCUCCAGGCUCCUGCCUUGAGUUUCCUUGCCCAGC